rnacentral:lncRNA from 1 species
CUGACCUGCAUAUUGUAUGCUGUAACUUUUUCUGUUCUCAUUAAUUAAUUCCAUUUUUAUUGUAGUAAAAUAUACAGCAUAAUCUCCCCCUUUUAGCUGGGUGAGUGGCACACACCUGUAAUCCUAGCUACUUGGGAGGCUAAGGCAGAAGGAUCACAAGUUUGAAGCCAGCCUCAGCAAUUUAGCAAGACACUGCCUCAAAAUUAAAAAUCAACAAGUAAAUAAAAGGGCCAGGGAUGUGGCCCAUUGGUAAAACACCCCAGAAUUCAAUCCCCAGUAAUCCAGGGGCAGAAAACUAUCUACCUUUUAACAUGUUUUUAAAUGUACAGUACAGUAUUAACUAUAAGCACAAUGUUAUUCGGUUGAUCUCUAGAUCUCUAGAACUGUUUCAUCUUGCACAACUGAAACUCUGUACCUUCUGAACAUCAACUCCUCAUUUGUCCCUCCCCCCAUCUCCUGGAAACCACAAAUCUAUUUUCUAUCUCUGAGUCUGACUAGUUUAGUAAGUGAAAUCAUGCAGCAUUUGUCCUCCUGGGUCUUGUAGCAUGUUUUCAAGGUUCAUCCACAUUGUGGUAUAUGACAGGAUUUCCUUCCUUUAUGGCUUAAUAGUCCACCAUAAGUAUAUGCCAUAUUUUCUUUAUCCAUCUGUCAUUGGACAGAUGUUUAGUCUAUUUCCACCUUUUGCCUAUUUUGAACAAUUUUGAAAUAAAUAUGAGAAUGCAAAUAUCUCUUUGAGAUUCUGAUUUCAGUCAUUCUGGACAAAUCCCUAAAGUGGGUUUGCUGGAUCACAUAGUAGUUUGAUUUUUCAAGGAACCAUAAUACUGUUUUCCAUAGCAACUGUGCCAUUUUAAACUUAUAACCAUGCAUGAGGUUUCCAAUUUGUCCACAUUCUUACCAACACUUGUUAAUUUCUGGUUUUGUUUUGUGUUUAUAAUGACCAUCCUGGUAGGUAUGAGUUGAUAACUUCACUGUGGUAAAGUAACUUUGCUUUUCUGUAAUGAUUAGUGCUAGAGUUCUGACUUUUCAGUGGAAUUCUUAGGAUAUACAAGAUCAUGUCAUCUGCAAAUAGAUAUAGUUUUGCUUCUUCCUUUUCAUUCUAGAUUUGAUUUAUUUCAUUUUCCUAUUUAGUUAACCUUGAC